CCUACGGGAGGCAGCAGUGAGGAAUAUUGGUCAAUGGGCGAGAGCCUGAACCAGCCAAGUAGCGUGAAGGAUGACUGCCCUAUGGGUUGUAAACUUCUUUUAUAAGGGAAUAAAGUGAGGGACGUGUCCCUUUUUGUAUGUACCUUAUGAAUAAGGAUCGGCUAACUCCGUGCCAGCAGCCGCGGUAAUACGGAGGAUCCAAGCGUUAUCCGGAUUUAUUGGGUUUAAAGGGAGCGUAGGUUGACAUAUAAGUCAGCUGUGAAAGUUUACGGCUCAACCGUGAAAUUGCAGUUGAUACUGUAUGUCUUGAGUGUACAAGAGGUGGGCGGAAUUCGUGGUGUAGCGGUGAAAUGCUUAGAUAUCACGAAGAACUCCAAUUGCGAAGGCAGCUCACUGGGGUACAACUGACACUGAGGCUCGAAAGUGUGGGUAUCAAACAG
rnacentral:rRNA from 1 species